rnacentral:rRNA from 1 species
UACGAAGGGGGCUAGCGUUGUUCGGAAUUACUGGGCGUAAAGAGCUCGUAGGCGGUUUGUCGCGUCUGCCGUGAAAGUCCGGGGCUCAACUCCGGAUCUGCGGUGGGUACGGGCAGACUAGAGUGAUGUAGGGGAGACUGGAAUUCCUGGUGUGAGCGGCUGAAAUGCGCAGAUAUCAGGAGGAACACCGAUGGCGAAGGCAGGUCUCUGGGCAUUAACUGACGCUGAGGAGCGAAAGCAUGGGGAGCGAACAGG